rnacentral:tRNA from 1 species
AUUCAAAUAGCUUAUAUAGUAUAGUAUUACAUUGAAGCUGUAAUGGAGAUUAAUUAAUCUUUGAAUA